AACUAUGUUAUGGACACAUCAUUGACAUACCAUGAUACAAGAUAAUGAGAUAUUAAAUCCCUUUAACAUUAGAAACCACACAAUGACCAUUCCCAUCUACUUUGUAUGUCCACUAGCUAAAUGACCAUAUAGUAAGAUCUUUGUGGAAUCAACAGUAAAAACUCAGAUGGAUGCAAACAUAUGGAUGGUCAAGGGGCUCAUCUUUUUCGAGUGCACUAGUCAACUCAUUGCUUACAUCAGUGGAUGUAGUGCUAUGGAUACGAUCAUGUGGAUGAGGUGCAAGACUCUAAUUUCUCCAAAUAUAACAAGCUCCCAAAAAGUUAUCAACCAAGGCGUAGUUUUCGAUUAAUAAUUGUCCAAGCAAUGUCAUUUAUGUGGUCAUCUUCAUGAGAUCAAGGAAACCCAUGGGAUGAAUCAAGAACGAAAACCUUAUUGUCCAAAAAGAAAAACCAUGAGCUCCGCCGUGCACCGCCGUAUCACUUCCUUUUUUCAAUACCCAUACUUCUUCCAUCUCUCAACAUUUCUUCAACCUAAACUGAAAUUCACCAAAUAAACACUAAAUCACACAUCUAGAAAUCAAAGAUCGGAAGAGUAAAAUACUUUUUUGAUGAAUGGUGAAGAAACGCUCAGCUUGAGCAGCGGUGACAUCACCACGAUAGUCACGCCACACCAGAACAUAGCUCGUUAAAUCAAACAUAAAUAGCAAUAAGGUCGUUCUUGCUAUGGUAUUCUUCAUCCUUGUUUAUCAAAAAUUAGGAUCAAACAUAUGAAUUAAUUUGGAGAUGGUGAACCGAGAUCUUACAUUUUUUUUUGUAGAUAGAAAGAGAAAACAAAUGACAAAAGAUAGAGAGAAGAAAGAAAAAAU
rnacentral:lncRNA from 1 species